rnacentral:rRNA from 1 species
GACGAACGCUGGCGGCGUGCCUAAUACAUGCAAGUCGAACGAACCGCGACUGAGUGCUUGCACCUGGUCAAGGUGAGUGGCGAACGGGUGAGUAACACGUGGGUAACCUACCUCAUAGUGGGGGAUAACAGUCGGAAACGACUGCUAAUACCGCAUAGGACAUGGAAUCACAUGAUUCUGUGAGGAAAGGUGGCGCAAGCUAUCGCUAAGAGAUGGACCCGCGGUGCAUUAGCUAGUUGGUAGGGUAAGGGCCUACCAAGGCGAUGAUGCAUAGCCGACCUGAGAGGGUGAUCGGCCACAUUGGGACUGAGACACGGCCCAAACUCCUACGGGAGGCAGCAGUAGGGAAUCUUCCGCAAUGGACGCAAGUCUGACGGAGCAACGCCGCGUGAGUGAAGAAGGUCUUUGGAUCGUAAAGCUCUGUUGUUAGAGAAGAACAGCGCAUAGAGUAACUGUUAUGCGUGUGACGGUAUCUAACCAGAAAGCCACGGCUAACUACGUG